rfam:Dipodomys ordii contig_14779, whole genome shotgun sequence.
GGUGGCUCAGUGGUAGAGCGCUUGCCUUGCACGAAUGAGGCCCUGGGUUCGAUUCCUCAGCACCA